GUGGAGCGGAACCCGGCCCCGCGAUCCGGCCCGGGUUUUGCAUGCCACCCACUCGCCCGCUCGGCCGCGGAGAAUUCCAUAAUCACAGCGGGCGAGAGCGGAGACUGGGAGCGAAAAAUCCGGGAUCCGGCAACUUUGGGCAGCGCAUGCGCGCCCGCGGCGCUCCAUCCCAAACACACACACAUUUUUCCCCCGGACUUGGAAAGUCACCCAAAGCCGCCCCAAGUGCAGGCACACAGACCUUGGUGACAGAAGACAAAGAUCCCAUUGGCCCUUCCAGGUGCCCUGGCCACCAACCCCUCCUUCACAGGGGGGUCCUGCAACUCCCAGGUGGUGCGUGUUGGAAUGGACUUCAGACCCCAGCCUCUUGGGAUGCAAAGGAUGAAGUGACACCCCAUCAGCAUCUGAGGCACCUCUAGGACCCGUUAGGAGGCUACCCCAGCAUUGUCUGCGCCGGCGGGCAGUGGCCCUGAAAACGUGAUCAGAGGCGGCCCGGUGUAGGGCAGGCCCGGCCCGCGCCCUGCGCUCUCGCUGGGGCCUGUGGAUUCCUCCCUUUGCCGCCAGCACCACCCUGGUUACAGCCUGCUCCUGGGUCCUCUUUGGCCUUUCUCUCCCUGCACCCCUUCUCACCCCCUUCUGGCUGCUCCUUCCUGCUCUCUCAGCCUCAGCCUCCUCUCAGGCCUUUGAGAAUCUCCACCCCUUCCUAUCAUCCCUGAGAAUCUCUAGCACAGAGAAUCGCUUCCCAGGAUGCUGGGAGCUGGAAGUUGGCUUCCUGUGCUAGGACUUGUUCUUCCCCUUCUCCUCUCCACUUCUGCUCCUUUGAAAGUCCAGGUUGAACAUUGGAGCAGGCAUGCAAGUCCUGAAAGUUGGUCCCAUGAGCCUCCAUUUUCUGAAGCAGGCCUGGGCUAACUCUGGCCCCUGAGCCACGUUUGGCCCACAGUCUGUUUUUAUAAAUAAAGUUUUAUUGGAAACAGCCAUGCCCAUUCAUUUGCAUACUGCCUACGUCUACUUUCACUCCAGAGGGGCAGAGUUGAGUGGUUACAACAAACUGUUUGGCCUACAAAGCACAAAAUAUUUCAUAUCUAGCCCUUGACAGAAAAGAUUCUGGCCUCAGCCCUGGAGGUUCUGGCUGCUGCUCUCUGUCUCUCUGUGUGUGUCUCUCUCCCUGGUAAAAUAUAUGUAACGUGAAAUCUGCCGUCGUGACGAUGUUAAGUGUAUCAUUUCCUGGCAGUACAUGCAUUCACAGUGCUGUGUGCCGUCAUCAUGAGCUCAGUGAGAUUGCUCUGAGGGGCGUGGGCGUUUGUCUGGGAGCCCUGUGCUGGGGGUUGCAAGCUGUUUGCUGUCCUGGUCUCUUGGGGAGCCCCCAUCUCUUCUCUCCUGAGGGCUUCACCCUCUGCUCAGUCUUCCUGCCUAUAAGUCCCAGCCCUUCUCUCCUCAUCUGAGCUCCCUCUCAGCUCCGACUUCCAGUACCCAAGUAGCCUUUAGCAGGCUGUUUAACCUCAGACCCAGUUUCCUCUUCUGCAUGGUGAGAAGAGCAUCUACUUUGCAGGGUUGUUGGGACAAGUGAGUGAGUUAUGGCUAAAAGCCGCCAGCCCAGGACCCAAUAGGUAGCAGAAGUACAUGGUUCCUCCUCCCUCCCAGAGUCUGUGUCUCCAAAGUGGGCCCACAGUGGGCUCCUUGGCCUGGGUCCUUGACAGGCCUCUGGGCAAGUUCCACGGAGCUGCCCCUGCUCUGGGCACCUCUGAGUUUGAUCCCUUGAGAAGGCAUGGCUUCUGAUUCCAAUGAACCUGUGGAAGAGAAACACCCCCUGGGCAGUGUACUGCAGAUGGCCUUGUAGAUGACCUCUCUGAGUGCCAGC
ensembl:lincRNA